rnacentral:tRNA from 1 species
GGCUUGUAGCUCAGUGGUAGAAUGCUUAUCUAGCACAUAUGAGACACUGGGUUCAAUUCUCAGCACCA